GUGCUCACUUCAGCAGCACAUACAUUAAAGAGUGGAACAAUACAGAGAAGAUUAUCAUGUCCCCUGCACAAGGAUGACGCAAAAAUUUGUGAAUUGUUCUACGUUUAA
ensembl:snRNA U6 U6 spliceosomal RNA